rnacentral:rRNA from 1 species
CAUAUUCUUCUUUUACUGCAAUGGUAGGGUGUUUACGCAGUAACUUUUCCACACGACCAAAAACACGAUCCGCUGGCAAAAAGCUAUGACCACGUACAGGAUACGUGAUGGUAACUGUACGUAGAUGAGACGGAGAUUUAAAUCUCAACCAGUAAUAAAGCGGUAUUUUUAAAUUAUUAUUUAAGUAAGUUUUAGUAAUUGAUUAUUGAUUUAAUAAAAUUUGUGCCAGCAAUUGCGGUUAUACAAAUAAUUCAAUUGAAAUUUAUUGGUAAAUAAUUAAUUUUUUUUAAAAAAAAGUUUAUUAUUAAAAUUUUUAAGUGAAAUUUAAAUUUUAAUAUAAUUUUUUUUUUUAUAUUUGAAGUUAUUAAAAUUAAUAUUAAACUAGGAUUAGAUACCCUAUUAUUAUAAUUGUAAAUUUAAAUACCAGAUUAGUAUUAGUUAUGUUCUUUAAAAUUAAAAAAUUUGGCGGUAUUUUAGUCUAUUCAGAGGAACCUGUCCUGUAAUUGAUAAUCCACGAUUAGAGUUACUUUUUUUUUACUUGUAUAUCGUUGUUUUUGAAUAUUUUAUAAGAAUUUAAAUUUUCGAUAAGUAUAUUUUAGUUUAUUUCAGAUCAAGGUGCAGUUUUUAAAAGAAGAGAUGGGUUACAUUAAAUUUAUUUAUGGAUUUUUACUUUGAAUAGUAAAGUUAAAUUGGAUUUGAUAGUAAUGUUUUAUAUAUUUGAUAUAUGAUUUUAGCUCUAAAGUGUGUA